UACGAGGGGGCGAGCGUUGUUCGGAAUUAUUGGGCGUAAAGGGUGCGUAGGCGGUUUGGUAAGUCUGAUGUGAAAUCUAUGGGCUCAACUCAUAGUCUGCAUCGGAAACUGCCGGGCUUGAGUGUGGGAGAGGUGAGUGGAAUUCCUGGUGUAGCGGUGAAUGCGUAGAUAUCAGGAGGAACACCUGUGGCGAAAGCGGCUCACUGGACCAUAACUGACGCUGAUGCACGAAAGCUAGGGAGCAAACAGG
rnacentral:rRNA from 1 species